rnacentral:rRNA from 1 species
GAUGAACGCUGGCGGCGUGCCUAAUACAUGCAAGUCGAGCGAACAGACGAGGAGCUUGCUCCUUUGACGUUAGCGGCGGACGGGUGAGUAACACGUAGGUAACCUACCUAUAAGACUGGGAUAACUUCGGGAAACCGGAGCUAAUACCGGAUAAUAUUUCGAACCGCAUGGUUCGAUAGUGAAAGAUGGCUUUGCUAUCACUUAUAGAUGGACCUGCGCCGUAUUAGCUAGUUGGUAAGGUAACGGCUUACCAAGGCAACGAUACGUAGCCGACCUGAGAGGGUGAUCGGCCACACUGGAACUGAGACACGGUCCAGACUCCUACGGGAGGCAGCAGUAGGGAAUCUUCCGCAAUGGGCGGAAGCCUGACGGAGCAACGCCGCGUGAGUGAUGAAGGUCUUCGGAUCGUAAAACUCUGUUAUUAGGGAAGAACAAACGUGUAAGUAACUGUGCACGUCUUGACGGUACCUAAUCAGAAAGCCACGGCUAACUACGUG